rnacentral:rRNA from 1 species
AUGAACGCUGGCGGCGUGCUUAACACAUGCAAGUCGAACGGAGUUUACUUAACAGAUUCCUUCGGGAUGACGUUUUUUAAACUUAGUGGCGGACGGGUGAGUAACGCGUGGGUAACCUGCCUUACACAGGGGGAUAGCAGUUGGAAACGACUGGUAAUACCGCAUACCUUACAUUAUUCGCAUGUUUGAUGUAAGAAAGAUUUAUCGGUGUAAGAUGGACCCGCGUCUGAUUAGCUAGUUGGUGUGGUAACGGCAUACCAAGGCGACGAUCAGUAGCCGGCCUGAGAGGGUGAACGGCCACAUUGGGACUGAGAUACGGCCCAGACUCCUACGGGAGGCAGCAGUGGGGAAUAUUGCACAAUGGAGGCAACUCUGAUGCAGCGACGCCGCGUGAGUGAAGAAGUAUUUCGGUAUGUAAAGCUCUAUCAGUAGGGAAGAUAAUGACGGUACCUACAGAAGAAGCCCCGGCUAAAUACGUGCCAGCAGCCGCGGUAAUACGUAUGGGGCAAGCGUUAUCCGGAUUUACUGGGUGUAAAGGGAGUGUAGGCGGCAGUACAAGUCAGGAGUGAAAACUUGGGGCUCAACCCCAAGACUGCUUUUGAAACUGUACAGCUAGAGUGUAGGAAGGGCAAGCGGAAUUCCUGGUGUAGCGGUGAAAUGCGUAGAUAUCAGGAAGAACACCGGUGGCGAAGGCGGCUUGCUGGACUAUAACUGACGCUGAGACUCGAAAGCGUGGGGAGCGAACAGGAUUAGAUACCCUGGUAGUCCACGCUGUAAACGAUGAAUACUAGGUGUUGGGUCUCGAUAGAGAUUCGGUGCCGAAGCAAACGCAUUAAGUAUUCCACCUGGGGAGUACGUUCGCAAGAAUGAAACUCAAAGGAAUUGACGGGGACCCGCACAAGCGGUGGAGCAUGUGGUUUAAUUCGAAGCAACGCGAAGAACCUUACCUGAUCUUGACAUCCCGAUGACCGCUUCGUAAUGGAAGCUUUUCUUCGGAACAUCGGUGACAGGUGGUGCAUGGUUGUCGUCAGCUCGUGUCGUGAGAUGUUGGGUUAAGUCCCGCAACGAGCGCAACCCUUAUGGUCAGUUACUACGCAAGAGGACUCUGGCCAGACUGCCGUUGACAAAACGGAGGAAGGUGGGGAUGACGUCAAAUCAUCAUGCCCCUUAUGGCCUGGGCUACACACGUGCUACAAUGGCACUAAACAAAGUGAAGCGAGACAGUGAUGUUAAGCAAAGCACAAAAACAGUGUCCCAGUUCGGAUUGUAGUCUGCAACUCGACUACAUGAAGCCGGAAUCGCUAGUAAUCGCAGAUCAGCAUGCUGCGGUGAAUACGUUCCCGGGCCUUGUACACACCGCCCGUCACACCAUGGGAGUCGGAAACGCCCGAAGCCGGUGGCCUAACCGUAAGGAAGGAGCCGUCGAAGGCGGGUUCGGUGACUGGGGUG